rnacentral:rRNA from 1 species
GAUGAACGCUAGCGGCAGGCCUAAUACAUGCAAGACGAACGGUAACUUUGGUAGCAAUAUUGAAGCAAGAGUGUCGUAAGGGUGCGUAACACGUAUGCAAUCUGCCCUCAACAGGAGGAUAGCUCCCCGAAAGGGGAAUUAACACUCCAUAAGAUCAUGGUUCGGCAUCGGACAGUGAUUAAAACUACGGUGGUUGAGGAUGAGCCCGCGUCCGAUUAGCUAGUUGGUAGGGUAAAGGCCUACCAAGGCGACGAUCGGUAGCUGGUCUGAGAGGAUGAUCAGCCACAAUGGGACUGAGACACGGCCCAUACUCCUACGGGAGGCAGCAGUGGGGAAUUUUACGCAAUGGGCGAAAGCCUGACGUAGCGACACCGCGUGAGCGAAGAAGCCCUUUGGGGUGUAAAGCUCUGUCGGCUGGAACGAAAAAAAUGACGGUACCAGCAAAGGAAGCAUCGGCUAACUACGUGCCAGCAGCCGCGGUAAGUGCGACGACA